GUGAACCUGCGGAAGGAUCAUUACAAGUGAGGCUACCGAACGUUGGAAACAGCGGUUAGGAGCUUACACCCACCCGUGUCUACAUACUAUUGUUGCUUUGGCGGGCCGUGGCCUCCACUGCGGGCUCUGCUCGUGUGUGCCCGCCAGAGAACCAAACUCUGAAUGUUAGUGAUGUCUGAGUACUAUCUAAUAGUUAAAACUUUCAACAACGGAUCUCUUGGUUCUGGCAUCGAUGAAGAACGCAGCGAAAUGCGAUAAGUAAUGUGAAUUGCAGAAUUCAGUGAAUCAUCGAAUCUUUGAACGCACAUUGCGCCCUGUGGUAUUCCGCAGGGCAUGCCUGUUCGAGCGUCAUUUAACCACUCACGCCUAGCGUGGUAUUGGGGCACGCGGUCUCCGCGGCCCUCAAAAUUAGUGGCGGCGCCGGUGGGCUCUAAGCGUAGUACAUACUCCCGCUAUAGAGUUCCCCCGGUGGCUCGCCAGAACCCCCAAUUUUUACAGGUUGACCUCGGAUCAGGUAGGGAUACCCGCUGAACUUAAGCAUAUCA
rnacentral:rRNA from 1 species